rnacentral:rRNA from 1 species
UUUGGUUGUUAUAGCAGCGUGGAAACACCUGUUCCCAUCCCGAACACAGUAGUUAAGCACGCUUACGCCGAUGGUACUGCACUGGUAACGGUGUGGAAGAGUAGGUCACAGCCAGUU